rnacentral:rRNA from 1 species
UCUGGGGGCUCAACCCCCAGCCUGCAGUGGGUACGGGCAGACUAGAGUGCGGUAGGGGAGAUUGGAAUUCCUGGUGUAGCGGUGGAAUGCGCAGAUAUCAGGAGGAACACCGAUGGCGAAGGCAGAUCUCUGGGCCGUAACUGACGCUGAGGAGCGAAAGCAUGGGGAGCGAACAGGAUUAGAUACCCUGGUAGUCCAUGCCGUAAACGUUGGGAACUAGAUGUGGGGACCAUUCCACGGUCUCCGUGUCGCAGCUAACGCAUUAAGUUCCCCGCCUGGGGAGUACGGCCGCAAGGCUAAAACUCAAAGGAAUUGACGGGGGCCCGCACAAGCGGCGGAGCAUGCGGAUUAAUUCGAUGCAACGCGAAGAACCUUACCAAGGCUUGACAUAUACCGGAAACGGCCAGAGAUGGUCGCCCCGCAAGGUCGGUAUACAGGUGGUGCAUGGUUGUCGUCAGCUCGUGUCGUGAGAUGUUGGGUUAAGUCCCGCAACGAGCGCAACCCUCGUUCUAUGUUGCCAGCACGUUAUGGUGGGAACUCAUAGGAGACUGCCGGGGUCAACUCGGAGGAAGGUGGGGAUGACGUCAAAUCAUCAUGCCCCUUAUGUCUUGGGCUUCACGCAUGCUACAAUGGCCGGUACAAAGGGCUGCGAUACCGUAAGGUGGAGCGAAUCCCAAAAAGCCGGUCUCAGUUCGGAUUGAGGUCUGCAACUCGACCUCAUGAAGUCGGAGUCGCUAGUAAUCGCAGAUCAGCAACGCUGCGGUGAAUACGUUCCCGGGCCUUGUACACACCGCCCGUCAAGUCAUGAAAGUCGGUAACACCCGAAGCCAGUGGCCUAACCCCUUGUGGGAUGGAGCUGUCGAAGGUGGGAUCGGUGAUUAGGACUAAGUC